rnacentral:tRNA from 1 species
GCCUAGUUAGCUUGGAGGGUAGGUAGAGCGUCUGCCUUGUAAGUGCUAGGUCGUGGGUUCGAUUCCCACACGGGGCG